rnacentral:tRNA from 1 species
GAGGGUAUUGCUCAGAAGUAGAGCACAUGCUUAGCAUGCAUGAGAUCAUGGGUUCUAUCCCCAGUUCCAUUA